rnacentral:rRNA from 1 species
UACGGAGGAUGCGAGCGUUAUCCGGAUUUAUUGGGUUUAAAGGGUGCGUAGGCGGGAUGCCAAGUCAGCGGUAAAAAUGCGGUGCUCAACGCCGUCGAGCCGUUGAAACUGGCGUCCUUGAGUGGGCGAGAAGUAUGCGGAAUGCGUGGUGUAGCGGUGAAAUGCAUAGAUAUCACGCAGAACCCCGAUUGCGAAGGCAGCAUACCGGCGCCCGACUGACGCUGAAGCACGAAAGCGUGGGUAUCGAACAGG